AGCAGUGAGGCACAAGAGAACGAUUUGUUCAGUAGGCGUUGUGCGGGUAAGACGUGUGUGCACCAAGAAGUGUGUCUGCUCGCUGCUUUGUCACCAGUCCGAUUAACGUGAAGUGUAUACAACAAGGGAGAAGUCGGGUCUUGCCGGCCAUCCUCUAAACCUGGGCGAACAAGUCUCAGGCGUCAGUCAGAUGGAGCACGUCCCGCCACGAAUCUGGCACCGGCGUCCCUACAUCUGCUCACUACCAACUUGGUAGAGCCUCUGUUUCACUCGAGCUAACGCGUCAGCUACAGCAACGCUCGAGUCAGACCUGCACCCGCCCAAGCGUCUGAUAAGCCCAGGCAUCCUCUUCUGUCUGUGUCCAUGUGAUAGCAGUCCAUCUCCAGGUCGCCCUCUUCAAAAGAGGGCGUUGACAGUGGAGACGUGCGGUCCUGGCGGUCCAGCAUAGGUCCUGCCACUACUGAAGAGAGAACCAAACCAGCGUCUUAAUCACACCCAACUUGCGGCAAGAAAUUUUCUCUCGUUGCACUGGAAGAAGCCAACGGUCUCGCUGCAUCUUCCAUGGAGGAAUUGGACCCUGCCUCGCACCAGCUCUGCCAUGAUAACGUGCUGCCAUCAAGGGAGGACACUGCCUCGCUGCACCUUCCAUGGAGGAAUUGGACCCUGCCUCGCACCAGCUCUGCCAUGAUAACGUGCUGCCAUCAAGGGAGGACACUGCCUCGCUGCACCUUCCAUGGAGGAAUUGGACCCUGCCUCGCACCAGCUCUGCCAUAACGUGCUGCCAUCAAGGGAGGACACUGCCUCGCUGCACCUUCCAUGGAGGAAUUGGACCCUGUCUCGCACCAACUCUGCCCUGAUAACGUGCUGCCAUCAAGGGAGGACACUGCCUCGCUGCACCUUCCAUGGAGGAAUUGGACCCUGCCUCGCAUCAGCGCUGCCCUGACAAGUGGUGCCAUCCAGGAAGAGAGGACAUAUUAUAUUGCCUUGCUUCAUCUAACCUAACCUAACAAAUACAUGUUGCGAAUCACUCUUGUAAUGUUAUUCCUUCCAUGUUCUGAUGUGCCCACAUAACUGGUGUUAUACUUUAAUAAUAAAUAAAGAUUAAGGAAAUUGA